CCUCCCUCAGGGCUCGCGCUCCCUCAGGGCUCUCCCACCGCCCGCGCCCCUUCAAAGCUCGGCGCGGCGCAGCUCGGCCCGGUUCAAGGUCCAGCUCCCGGUUCCGAGCUCCGGCGGAGGAGGCACCGCGCAGGUUGUGGAAUGGCAGCGAUGGAGACUUGCAGAACAGAAACCCAUCGGGACUGAUGGUGCAACUCAGCAGUACAGUAGAAGACUGCUUGAAAUAUCUUCCAGAUAGGCUGGGGAUAUUUUUAAAUUCCUCCUACUAACCUGCCAAAUCACAGCAUGGAGUUACUCAGUGUCUCCUUUCCAUUGAAUGUUUUGCCACGUGCAAGCUUUCAUCUUCUGUUUCAGUGUACUUUUGUGUACUUUCAAAGGUUAAAAGAAUGGAGGGUACUGGAGCCAGGAAAGCUCAGUGUCGGUUGGAGGUGAAGUCACCAGCAUUGCAUUUCUGCACCAGUCACAACUGAUAAGUUCAAAACCACAUCAGCAAUCAGAACAGGAGAAGUAGCAUAAGCCUGUUUCAGCUGCUUGCUGUUAAUGCUUGAAGGGAAGCAAGCUGCACCGAAUGCCUGCCUGAAGGAUGGGCAGCAGCUACAGGUAGGUUUCCAGAGGUGCAAGCCACAGACACCUGGUACAUGCUGGUGAUUCGGUACAAGUGAAGGCUAAUCCUGAGUGAAGUACACAAAGUUUUACGGAUAUCGCGGCACCUUUUGCUUCCCCUAAACAUGCAAUGGGAUUUGACAUCAGUGCUGUUUCUCCCUGCUGGUAUGGUGAUUAAACUCCCAGAUUUGAGCAGAGACCUCUUUAAGAGAUUUAACUUUGAAGCCUUUGUCCCCUUGAAUGUGAUCGUCUUUUCAGCAGCAAUUUGUAACUCCCAGCAUUCCCUUUCUACUGCAAAUAUGAAUGUAAGUCUCUACAUUAUUCAUUCUUUCUAAAGUGAGGAGGGAGAGUUGUAAACUGCUGAAUUACAACCUGCAGUUGCCAAGAGGCAGGAACAACUUAAGAGCAAUUUAAUUGUAGAUGUUUUCCUCCUUUCCCCUUUAACUCUUUCCUCAGGGAAGGAUAAACACCACAGGCAGUUGAAUAGUAAAGGAGCUGUUCUGGAGACAGAGACAAGCAGGGAUACAGAAGGUCAGAAUGCACUCUGCAGCUAGGAGAGCAAAAGACAGCCAGAGUAUCAGAUCAUCUUUAGAAUGGCAGGUAUUUGAAAUUAGUUCAUUGAGUUACUCUGUUCAAGUUUGCUAACAUGGUGGACUUAAAAAAAAAAAUUUAAAUUUCAGUUUAACAUUAAGAAGAAGUUAAAACUGUUGCAUAAAUGUUAGUGGGUGAGAUUCCAUCAAUGCCUACACUAGCCCAGCCAGCUCAAGACAGAAUUUUGUGAAGGAAGCAGAUCUGAGGUAAAGGUAAAAUGAAGCUAACAGGGCGUCACUAUAUAAUCAAAGGGUAUAGUCUCAGGCCAGUUGAUGAUGCCAUAGUUACACUCUUACUGACAUUUAUGCUUGUGUGAGAAUGUCAUCAUGAAAAGUAAGUGCUAUUCUAGAACAGCUUAAAGAGAGUGCUGAAUUGGGUCUCCUUCUCUUAGGUGGUUUUUUAUCCAUUCCAUUAUUUGUAUAUGACCAUGGGAACUUCUCCUUGUGCAUCCCUCGCCAUCGUUUCCACAGUAAUGUGGAUGUAACCUGCCUCCUAUCAGUGAAUCUCUAGAAGAUGUCCUCUCAAAAAACUGUCAUCUGGAGAACCUUCGGCAGGUUACACCCACAGUUAACACUACAAUCCUGAGCUACAUGUGCUUCAAACUGUAGUGCCUGACAGCAGGGUGAGCUCUUCCUGUUG